GGGGACGGAGAAGGCUAUGUUGGCCGGGCGACGGUUGUCCCGGUUUAAGCAUGUAGGCAGUGGGAUUAGGCAAAUCCGGUCCCACAAUGCCGAGACGCGACGACGACUGCCCUUUUAGGGCGGGAAGUCAUUGAUGCCCUGCUUCCAGGAAAAUCUUCUAAGCUUCAGGUUACAACAAACCGUACCCCAAACCGACACAGGUGGUCAGGUAGAG
rnacentral:rRNA from 1 species